UACGUAGGGUGCGAGCGUUAAUCGGAAUUACUGGGCGUAAAGCGUGCGCAGGCGGUUUUGUAAGCCAGAUGUGAAAUCCCCGGGCUCAACCUGGGAAUGGCAUUUGGGACUGCAAGGCUGGAGUUUGGCAGAGGAGACUGGAAUUCAUGGUGUAGCAGUGAAAUGCGUAGAGAUCAUGAGGAAGACCAGUGGCGAAGGCGGGUCUCUGGACAGUUCCUGACACUGAGGCACGAGGGCCAGGGGAGCAAACGGG
rnacentral:rRNA from 1 species